UCCAAAGCAUGGUACCAUGGCAAUUGUUUGAUUUGUUACCCUUAAAAAUUCUUUAUGCAAAGGAUUUAUCAAAAUGACUGUGAGUGACAUAAAAAAUAAGUAAGGACAUCACCACCUUCAACCUUUGGGCUGCAAAAAAAAAAAAAAAAAAUGCAUUGUCUUUGGCUGUGUCUUUGCUCCAGCUUUGUUCUUCUGUCUUCUAGGGUAAAUAUAUAUAUAUGAAGAAUGUAGGCUAGAAGUAACUCUAAGCAGCUGUCGUGCUCUGAAGGAGGGCAUGCAGAGCAGACAAGGUGAAGAACUAUCUGUGGCUAUAUGAAGCAUGGUUGCAAAAGAUUUGGCCAUACAGGGGAUUGCUGAAAGCGAAUAGCAGGAUAAAGACUAACCUCAAGGGAACAAUCCACAAAGAAGAUGCUUAUUUGGAGGCAAGUUACCUGAGCCCCUCAAAGUAUAACAGCAAACACCCAAAAACAAAAAGAUUAAUUUAAAAAAAGAAGAAGAAUUGGCCAAACCAAGCUGAAAUAUAUACUACUUUGAAACUGCAGACUACAGUUGUAUUGCAAAAUGCCUAGAAUGAAUUGGUAACUUUACUUAUGUAUAAAGAGAGCUAGGUCUCAAGAUGGAAAACAAAAGCCUUUGGGUAGAAACGGACAUACAGUCGGAGUAUUGAAACAGACUGUAAAUAAUUGGGAAAAAGUCCUACCUGUGAAAGUUUAUUCUGUGCAUAUUUCUCAAAGAAGGCUCACUGAAGCUCAGAAAUUCUGUUAAGAGAAAUGCACCAGGCUGAUCUUCUGCAGCUAGAAGGGGAGCACAUUUAAUGAAAGUCUACUUGGUCAAAGAUUGUGAAUGACCUUGGAGAGGGACAAGGAGAGAGCAAGAGAGAACACAAGCAGUGGGACUGGCAAGCAGAGGCAGAGGGAGAAGCGGCUUCCCACCGAGCAAGGAACCCAAUACAGGACUUGAUCCCAGGACCCUGAGAUCAUGACCUAAGUCAAAGGCAGAUUCUUAAGGAACUGAGCCACCCAGGUGUCCCUCCAGUUAUACUCACAUGCUUGGAAACAUAGGAUAAACCACUUGGAAAGUGAUAAACCUUAAGAAAGAAUAUAAUAUUUGGCUUUACAACAGACACAUGAAAAAGUGCUCCACAUCACUCGGCAUCAGGGAAAUACAAAUCAAAACCACAAUGAAAUACCACCUCACUCACACCCGUCAGAAUGGCUAAAAUUAACAAGUCAGGAAAUGACAGAUGCUGGCAAGGAUGCGGAGAAAGGGGAACCCUCCUACACUGUUGGUGGGAAUGCAAGCUGGUGCAACCACUCUGGAAAACAGCAUGGAGGUUCCUCAAAAAGUUGAAAAUAGAGCUACCCUAUGAACUAGCAAUUGCUUAAUGGGUAUUUACCCUAAAGCUACAAAUGUAGUGAUCCGAAGGGGCAUGUGCACCCGAAUGUUUAUAGCAGCAGUGUCCACAACAGCCAAACUAUGGAAAGAACCUACAUGUCCAUCAACAGAUGAAUGGAUAAAGAAGAUGUGGUAUAGAUAUCUACAAAGGAAUAUUAUGCAGCCAUCAAAAGGAAUGAAAUCUCACCAUUUGCAACAACGUGGAUGGAACUAGAGGGUAUUAUGCUUAGUGAAAUAAGUCAAUCGGAGAAAGACAACUAUCAUGUGAUCUGCUUGAUAUGAGGAAGUGGAGAUGCAAUGUGAGGGGUUUGGGGGUAGGAAAAGAAGAAAUGAAACAAAUGGGACUGGGAGGGAGACAAACCAUGAGAGACUAUUAAUGUCAUGAAACAAACUGAGGGUAGACAGGGGG